UAUCGGUCUUUCCCCCAAAGAAGUUGACCAUGGUACCAUUCUUUUCCUUGAUCUCUAUACUCCUUAUCUAACUUAUUUAUUUUUUUCUUUUCCUUGUAGAGAUGGUGAGGGAUAAUGCUUCUUGAAUGAUGAAGGUUGCUGAGAAGAGGAGAAAAGAAACUAGCCAAUUAGACCAAUCAAAGUGGUCAAAAGCAAUAGGAGAGUCUUCUAAUUUGAUUCUUGCUUCGCAGGUGCAUGCCACCAUUGAGCUUCCUUCAUAUUCUGUAGAGACUAGACUUUCUCCAAUGCCUCCUUCUACUUUUGAUGACCUAUUGAGAGGUUAUACCAUGGUGGCAGACAACUACCUCCUAGUUAAAAAUAUUAGGAAGAAAUUUAUACUACCAGGAGACCAGGAGAGACUUGAUGCUGAGGAUGAUGAUAAUGGCUAUCAUCAUGCUAUGGCUGUGAACUUAGAAGUUAUGACCGCAAUUCAAGCAAGAAAGGAGAGAUUCCACAAGCUGCAUGGAGCCUUUGGAGAGCUUCAAACGCAAAAUAUUCUCCUCAUAACUGAGCUUGGCAACAUGCAUUCCUUGGCUUAUGGAGAUGACCUUAGAAAGAGAUGUUGAGAGGGCUAGAUUCAAGGAAGCUGAGAGGAAGCUAAAGGCUAGUGAUGACUAGAUACUUGACAUGUAUCUAGGUUUAUAGGGUUUCAUCAUGUCUAAGCUUAACUCGGGGACCCUACCGGGGACUACAAUUGGAUUUUGGACAUGGUUCAUGAAGCUAUAACUCCUACAAAUAAGGAGUGGCAUCAUGGUGAUGGUGGAAAUGAGCCUUAGUUUUUAGGUUUCCAUACUUUGUAUCUUGGCCUUGAAGGCCUUAGUUUCUUUGGUAAUUAUUUUAUAUGGAUAUCUACUAUGUUAUUUUGAAUUCUAU
rnacentral:lncRNA from 1 species